AUAACACACACACACAUAUACAUACAUAUAUAUAUAUAUAUGUGUGUGUGUGUGUGUGUGUGUAU